UAGAACACCUACACAACUUUUAUUCUUUUAGCUUGCUUUGGGGCAAACAAUACAAGUUGAAGGAAAAGACAACUGGCAAGGAAGGCAUGGGAUUUUUCUGCCUCCUCAUGUGUUUUCGCCAGCAUGCUGAAGGGACCGGGCCCCUUCUUCCAGAUGUGCUUGGGCAGAUGACGUCAAUGCAGGGAUCAGUUAAGAAAACUGCCAGGUGAAGGUGGAACCCAACAAGGCUUCCAUGAUGCAGUUGUGGUCCUUGAUGAUCACAUUAAAGCCACCUUAAAAUCAAG
rnacentral:lncRNA from 1 species